AGAAUCAACGCUGGCGGCGUGCCUAACACAUGCAAGUCGAACGAGAAAGUGGAGCAAUCCAUGAGUAAAGUGGCGACCGGGUGAGUAACACGUGACUAACCUACCUUCAAGUGGGGGAUAACCUCGGGAAACCGGGGCUAAUACCGCAUAACAUCUUUGGAGUGGAAAUUCUGGAGAUCAAAGGAGUAAUUCGCUGGAAGAGGGGGUCGCGGCUGAUUAGCUAGUUGGCGGGUAAUGGCCCACAAGGCUUUGAUCGGUA
rnacentral:rRNA from 1 species